UACGUAGGUGGCAAGCGUUACUCGGAAUCACUAGGCGUAAAGCGCAGGUAGGCGGUUCGGUAAGUCUCUUGUGAAAGCUCCCGGCUCAACUGGGAGAGGUCAAGGGAAACUGCCGGGCUAGAGUGUGGCAGAGGAAGCUGGAAUUCCCGGUGUAGCGGUGAAAUGCGUAGAGACCGGGAAGAACACCAGUGGCGAAGGCGGCCCGCUGGGCAGUGGCUGACGCUGAAGCGCGACAGCGUGGGGAGCAAACAGG
rnacentral:rRNA from 1 species